AACAAAAUCUUAAAAAAAAAAAAAAAAAAAAAAGGAUAACUAGUAUCCCUAUAAAAAAGAAAAAAUUGGACACAGACAGGGAGAACACCAUGUGAAGAUGGAAUUAUGCUGCCACAGCGAAGGAACACCAAGAUUUCUGGCAAAGCUCCAGAAUUUAGGAGCAAGGAAUGAGCAGAUUCACCCUCACAGCCUUAAAAGGAACCAACCCUGCAGACUCCAUGAUUUCAGACUACUUGCCUUCAGCACUCACUCACUGUAUCCACGGUCCAUGUCACUGUAUCCCCGGUACCGGCACUUAUCAAACGCCUAAUUCUGACUGGCCCGGAGACUUGUCAGGAGGGGAAGUUCUAAAAAAAAAGAAGAAAGAAAAAGAGACCGUACUGAGAAUGAGAAUGCGCAGCCGUAUUUCAAAUAUUUGCGUUUUGAACGGGGGUAGGAGAAUGGCCAAUAAAUGCAAAAUUCAAAAUGCU